rnacentral:misc_RNA from 1 species
AACUGAUACUACCUGCGGGAACCUGCGGAGGGAUCAUUAUUGAAAACAUUGUAGAGGGAGGUUCUAGAGCUGGCUCUUCACGGGGCAAGUGCUCGCCUUUCUCUCAAUCUUCAUCCACCUGUGCACCUUUUGUAGAGAGACUUUGUUUGAGAAAGGGAGCCCGUAAAACGGUUCCUCGGUAUCAGGGGAAGGCCUUUCUAUGUUUUUCACACUCUAAAUGUAUGUCUUGAAUGUCUUUUU